rnacentral:misc_RNA from 1 species
AGGGAUCAUUCACAUGAUUUUACCUCAAACAAACUGUGAACUUUAUAUAUACUAUUCGUGUUAGUGAUAUUUAUAUCAUUCAACACUGUCAUUCGAUGAACAUUAGAUAGCUGGCUUGUUUGUUUAUUCAAACUUUCUCAGCUGAUUUGUUUUGUUAUAGACUAAACAUUUAUUUCAAACAAUCAACCAAAAACAUAGAAACAACUCUAUGCCCUGGAUAUCUUGGUUCUC